rnacentral:misc_RNA from 1 species
UUUUAUCGCGCCCCGACUUGAGUGGAGCUCUCCGCGGCGGCGGAAGCGGGAACGGAAGGCGGAAAAAGGC